GAUGAACGCUGGCGGCGUGCCUAAUACAUGCAAGUCGAGCGAACGGACGAGAAGCUUGCUUCUCCGAUGUUAGCGGCGGACGGGUGAGUAACACGUGGAUAACCUACCUAUAAGACUGGGAUAACUUCGGGAAACCGGAGCUAAUACCGGAUGAUAUUUUGAACCGCAUGGUUCAAAAGUGAAAGACGGUCUUGCUGUCACUUAUAGAUGGAUCCGCGCUGCAUUAGCUAGUUGGUAAGGUAACGGCUUACCAAGGCAACGAUGCAUAGCCGACCUGAGAGGGUGAUCGGCCACACUGGAACUGAGACACGGUCCAGACUCCUACGGGAGGCAGCAGUAGGGAAUCUUCCGCAAUGGGCGAAAGCCUGACGGAGCAACGCCGCGUGAGUGAUGAAGGUCUUCGGAUCGUAAAACUCUGUUAUUAGGGAAGAACAUAUGUGUAAGUAACUGUGCACAUCUUGACGGUACCUAAUCAGAAAGCCACGGCUAACUACGUG
rnacentral:rRNA from 1 species